rnacentral:rRNA from 1 species
UACAGAGGUCCCGAGCGUUGUUCGGAUUCAUUGGGCGUAAAGGGUGCGUAGGCGGUCUGCUAAGUUUGAUGUGAAAUCCCGGGGCUCAACCCUGGAAUGGCAUUGAAUACUGGCGGACUAGAGUACCGGAGAGGAAACUGGAAUUUACGGUGUAGCAGUGAAAUGCGUAGAGAUCGUAAGGAAGACCAGUGGCGAAGGCGAGUCUCUGGACAUUUCCUGACGCUGAGGCACGAAAGCCAGGGGAGCAAACGGG